rnacentral:tRNA from 1 species
GCCGGAGUGAUGAAAUUGGUAGACAUGCACGUUUCAGAGGCGUGUGCUGCAAGGCGUGCGGGUUCAAGUCCCGCUUCCGGCA